rnacentral:rRNA from 1 species
GAUGAACGCUGGCGGCGUGCUUAACACAUGCAAGUCGAACGGAAAGGCCCAAGCUUGCUUGGGUACUCGAGUGGCGAACGGGUGAGUAACACGUGGGUGAUCUGCCCUGCACUUCGGGAUAAGCCUGGGAAACUGGGUCUAAUACCGGAUAGGACCACAUUUUGGAUGGUGUGGUGGAAAGUUUUUCGGUGUGGGAUGAGCUCGCGGCCUAUCAGCUUGUUGGUGGGGUAAUGGCCUACCAAGGCGUCGACGGGUAGCCGGCCUGAGAGGGUGUACGGCCACAUUGGGACUGAGAUACGGCCCAGACUCCUACGGGAGGCAGCGGUGGGGAAUAUUGCACAAUGGGCGCAAGCCUGAUGCAGCGACGCCGCGUGGGGGAUGACGGCCUUCGGGUUGUAAACUCCUUUCGCUAGGGACGAAGCGUUAUGUGACGGUACCUGGAGAAGAAGCACCGGCUAACUACGUG